rnacentral:rRNA from 1 species
UGGGGAAUAUUGGACAAUGGGCGAAAGCCUGAUCCAGCCAUGCCGCGUGUGUGAAGAAGGCCUUUUGGUUGUAAAGCACUUUAAGCGAGGAGGAGGCUACUAGUACUAAUACUACUGGAUAGUGGACGUUACUCGCAGAAUAAGCACCGGCUAACUCUGUGCCAGCAGCCGCGGUAAUACAGAGGGUGCGAGCGUUAAUCGGAUUUACUGGGCGUAAAGCGUGCGUAGGCGGCUGAUUAAGUCGGAUGUGAAAUCCCUGAGCUUAACUUGGGAAUUGCAUUCGAUACUGGUUAGCUAGAGUGUGGGAGAGGAUGGUAGAAUUCCAGGUGUAGCGGUGAAAUGCGUAGAUAUAGGAAGGAACACCAGUGGCGAAGGCGACCACCUGGGCUCAUACUGACACUGAGGUGCGAAAGCGUGGGGAGCAAACAGG